rnacentral:rRNA from 1 species
GACGAACGCUGGCGGCGUGCUUAACACAUGCAAGUAGGACGCAGUUGCGAACGGGAGAGUAACGCGUAGGUAACUACCUAUUAGAGGGGGAUAACUAUUGGAAACGAUAGCUAAUACCGCAUACUAGUAGAUGGACCUGCGUUGUAUUAGCUAGUAGGUAGGGUAAUGGCCUAACUAGGCAACGAUACAUAGCCAGCCUGAGAGGGUGAUCGGGCACACUGGGACUGAGACGAGGGCCAGACUCCUACGGGGGGCAGCAGUAGGAGAUCUUGGGCAAUGGGGGGAACCCUGACCGGGCAACGCCGCGUGAGUGAAGAAGGUUUUCGGAGAGUAAAGCUCUGUUGUUAAGGAAGCGGUACUUAACCAGAAAGGGACGGCUAACUACGUGCCAGCAGCCGCGGUAAUAC